CCUAAGUCAGUGGCACGUUUUUAACAGCUGCCUCCUUCCCGCUUGUCCCCCACAGGCUGGUGCUGGUACAAAUGGCCCCUUUCUAUCUGCCUGGUCCCCACCCACCAGUCCAAGGGCCAUCUCCCUGUGGGGACAGGAGACCCAGGACUCCCACCCUGGGGGCCACCACCAGGCUGGCUAUCCUCAUGCCAUCAUCUCAGGAUAAGUCUGAGUCCCUCCCUCUUUUUCCGUCCAAGACUGACAGUAGGUCCUCAGGAUGGUUUGAUGGAAGGAUCAAGGGUGAGACGCCCUUUGCAGCCUCAGGGGACCACUGGAAACUGCGCCCCUGCUGGAAACUCAAGACAAUUUCUGCUCAUCCAGCAGCUGACUGCAAACCCACGCCUGACCUCACAGCAAGCUCUGAAUGA
rnacentral:lncRNA from 1 species